rnacentral:lncRNA from 1 species
UCAGGCCAGUUCUCAUUACAGGCUUCCUAAAUUUAUUAAUGGAAAAUUAAAUAUUCUCUUUAGAUAGGCAAAUAGGUACAUAUCUGUGUCUCCAACGUAGUUUCAGUCUCUCAGUUUGUAAACUAAUGGAUAUAAUUCCCUUUGCAGCACUACCUAGCAUGGCUCCAGGCUGUGAUGUUAUUAUGGUCAUGGAAACGAAAUGAAAAGCACGUGGCUGACCUUUCCCAGCUCAGGUCUGUCUUCCCAAAGGAAGUGUGUAGAAUACCAACCACCUGGUUUAUCCUGUAUUUCCUUCCCAUUGGAGGUUUAUCUCAUCAUUCCCAGGAGUGUAGGAAAUCCUGUUUCAGCGCAGCCUCUUCUCAUCCACUGGACCUGUGCUGGAAUCACAGAACAGAAUAUUCCCAGCUGGAAGGGACGCAUCUGGAUCAUCAAGUCGAGUUGAGGGAGGAAAGUAUUGGAUUUGGGGCUCUUGGGAUGUGGCCCUUUGCAAAUGAUAGAGAAACAGUGAUGAACCCCAUGCUGGGGGACAUAAAGCAGGUAGCAGAGAGGAGAGGUGGGAGAAAUGUUCCCUGACAGUUCUGGAGUUUAAGCAGGCAUCAGAGUUCUGUAAUAUGGAUGUUUGUCCUCAUGUUUGUGUUUCGGUUUGGGUUUUUUGUGCCCUGUAUUCCGUACUGCUCUUCCAGAGCAGGGCAGUAUCUUCAACUGGAGAAUAACAAAACAGUUGUCAUUAGUUCAUCUUCUAAAACCAGGCCUGCAUCUUUCAUGUGCUUUGGGCUGACUGUUCAGAUGCAGCAGUUUGUGGACCGAAAGAAUGAGGAUGUUGGAAUCAAGAAGAAAGGAUUUACUCCUUGGUGUUCAGUUGUCUGCAGUUAGGGAGGGGAGAAGCAAUUAUGAACAAUUCCAGUGCCUGACCAGUGCACAAAGCCAGUCCAUCCUCCUGGGAUCCACAUUCUGUUCUGUUGUAGCUAGAUGUCAGAUUCAAAAAGCUGGAGUCUUUGUUCUUUUUGGCAAAACAUUGGACUUUCCAUCCAGCAUCUUGUAUUUCUGCUGGGUGACAAAAUGACAGAAAAUUCUUUCUGCAGGAUCUUGUAUGAAGUUCCAUCUUCUCCUUCUCUGCAAAUGAUCUUGGUUCAGGCUCAAUGUAUGGAUGCAGGAAGAUGCAGGGGAGCAGGGAAGAGCUGGCACUGUGUGUCCAGUGCUUGUCCUGCUGUUGUCUCCUGUUGGAACUCAAAAUGUCCCUCAGACAUUUUUGGAGGUUCCAGGCCCCAGUCAAAAGCAUUUAAGACCCUAGCAGGCAGCUGAAAACAGCUGUAAUUUUAAGUCAUAGAAUGAUUUACCAACUUUACAAGAAGAACAAAAAGUCACAAAAGUUUAAAUAUUAUAAUAAAAAUAGUUACAAAGUAGAAGAAAGGAUUUUUUAGUAUUAUACAACGAAGUUUUAACACCUAUACUGGAGGGUUUUUACUUUAUACAUAAGAGUCAAAAGUUUUAAAAUACAGAAAUUUUUAGCUAGUCCUGUCCUUCCUCUUCUUCCUUACCUCCAUGGUUUUAAUAAUGUUAACACUUACAAAUUAGUUUAAAUUAAAAAAACAUCAUUUAAUAUAAAUAAUAAAUAUUAAAGAAAAACUAUAAACAUUUAUCACAUAAUAUACCAUAUAAAAAAUAACAACCAAAAGCAAGGAAAAAAAAAAUCAAAAAACAAAAAAAGUGUCGAAAGUGUGUAUACCUCUACCAAAACUACUAACCAAACCACAAUAACCAAAAAAAAAAAUCUUUUAAAUAACUUAUAAUGAACUAUCUAUCUUAAAACCAAACAACAAAAAACUACUAAGUUUUUCUUUAAAAACACAAAUUAAAAAAAAAAAAACUUUUCCACCACACAAAACCCCUAAACCAAGCCUAAAUUCCAUCAGUCUCCUUAAAAAGAGAGCCUCAGAUCAGAUCCCAAGCACUUCCAGGAUGUGCUUGGCACACAUUCAAACAUUUUGCUGUCUGCUCAGAAUGCCAAUUUUCUCUCUUCUCUCUCUGAAGCUUUCAGUCCUGAAAUGGAGCACCUUCCCUACAACCAGCAUGGAACACACCUGUAGCUCCAGUCACCUUUCUCCUAGGGAACCAGGGUGUGGCCAUGGCAUUUGUGUGCUGCAGUCUCACUGCCUUGCCAGAUUUUAGGCCCUGGAGGCUCCUUCCGCAUUCCCUAAAUGGAUGGAAAAGCAAAAACUCAUGUAUUGAUGAUUAAACACAGCUUUCUGAUACUAUGUAAAUAAUUUUGAUUCUUAGUCUCAAUCCUAUCCAUCUGAAAGCAGGUGCAUUUAAAAACAGGUCUUCUGUGUGGUAGCUACAUAAAAAUUAAAACCAGUGUGUUCUGCCUUAUGUAGCUUUUUUUUUUUUUUUUUUUUUUUUUUUUUUUUUUUUUUUUUUUUUUUUUUUUUUUUCCCACAAGUUCUUCAAACCAGGUAACAAAAGUGGUUUAGUUCUAUUCAGUCAGGUUCAGUGUGAUUUUUAAAAUCCUGUUGCAGAGCUGCAGUGUUUCGGGCUGCAUGGUAUCAAGAAAUACUUUAUUAGACAGGAGUGCUCUUUGGAACUUCAGUCAUUGGAAUGUUCUUCUUUUAACAGCUUGUUUCUCUGAAAUGUAAACUUCUACAACAGGGAUUUAGCAUGCUUAAUUUGUUCAGCAUAUGAAACAUAGGUACCAGCUCAGUCAAUAAACAACUCUUUUUCACUGUAAUUUUUUCCACCUUCUUGAAUCUUACUGCAUUUUAGUCAUUAAUUCCAGGUAAUUCUUCUUUUUAAACAAACAAACAAAUAGCAGGCAAAACUGCAUUUCCUAUGGGGCACAUUUAGAAUGUAUCCAUAUUAUCAGAGUUGUAGGAGUGUGUCAAUUUCUACAGAAGAUCCAGCUUUUGCCUCAAGAUCACAUGGAUUUACUUGAAUGAUGCAGAGUAAAUUUUCUUUCUGAAUCAUUAAAAAAAAAAAUUUAAGUGACGUCUUGUGAAGCUAGAUUAGCCCAGAGUGAGACACCAGGCUGCAGUUCACAGGACAGCCAUAAUACAUGGGAAUCACCAGGGUGUGUUUCACAGCUGGAGCAGGGAGAGGCUCACAUCUUUAUCUUUCCUUCUUCCUUCCUCUCUUCCUCUUCUUUUUCCUUUGUCCUGCACCGUGACGGUAUUUCUUUGUCCAUCUGUUCUGGUUUGAAAACAAAACCAGUGAGACACUCCAAGUCAGAAAUACAAUUUAUUAGGAAAAGUGAAAAAGAAAACAAAAUGCAUGCAAUAAUACAAAAGAAAAACCACUGACAGACCCUUUUUGGUUAGGGUGUUGGUAGCAGUCCAAAUUGGAAUGGCUGCAGUCCUCCUGGAAAUCCAGCAGAAAAACUGAGUCUGGUGUCCCAAAACCCCAGAUUAUAUCAGGUAGGAAUGCUUGGCUCCUCCCUCUGGACCCAGCAUCUCACACUGGGAUGCUGUAACUUUUAUCAGUCAUGUAGUGACAUUCAAUAGCCCAUUAUCAGCAGAUGUCUCCUUGGAGGGAGAACUGGUUAUGAAAGAGAUAAGGAAAACUGCCCACUUAACAGAAGACAUCUGCCAUGGAAUAUGUCUGGGACACCAUCUCACUGUCCUUUUGCCUGUACCUGUCUGCAUCUGCUGCUCAGUCCUUCUCCCUCGCUGUAUUCUUCUCUUCAUAACCCUCUGUCCUGCUGCCCAUCCCUCACUUUCUCCAUUCCUCUGCUGCACCUUCCCCCCACACCCACCUGCUGUGGUGAUUUUCUCUCUCUGUCCUUGCUUCCCUCUUUGUAUCCUUCUGUCCUUCCCGUGUGUUUACCUCUCUUUUUAUUUGUCCUUCUCGUGUUCCUUUUUAUUCCCUGUUGCUCCCUGUGCCAUUGUUUCUCACUGGAUCCUUCUGUCCCUAUUCCUUUUUAAUUCUUCUCUGUCGUGCUGCCCAUCCCAGUUGUUUUUAUUUCAUCUCCAUCCCGCACCCUGCCCCCAAGCCAUGGGACAGCCACCAGCCUGUGACAGUGACCCCACGCUUCAAGGUCCCUUCCAACCCAGGCCAUUCCAGGAUCCACGGGAAAACUGCAAUAUCACCAUGUGAAUGAGCAAAGUUUAUAAAUAUAGGAAAGUUUGAUAACACUUGAGUUUUGUUGAUGUAUCUAUUAAUGAUUGUUAGAUCAUGUGGGGAGAUAACAGGACAGAUAGGAAAAUGGAGUUUGUCCCCACACUUAUUUUUAUUUCUUUAUUUAUGCUCAUGUACAUGUCUAUCAUGUUUAUAUAGAUAUGUGUAUUAUUUUACAUAUGUUUAUGGGUGAGGCACACAAUCUUUAUGAAUCUGCCAGGCUCUGGGGAGAUUUAAUUCCUCAAUGGCACAGGGAGCAGGACAGAGCAACAGGGAAUAAAAAGGAACACGAGAAGGACAAAUAAAAAGAGUGGUAAACACACAGGAAGGACAGAAGGAUACAAAGAGGGAAGCAAGGACAGAGAGAGAAAUGAUGAUUCCAAUGCAUAUCAUGGUAGGCAUUGGUGUAGUGUGGGGUGUUACUGAGUAUUACCUAAAUGGGUGCUUUAAGUGAGAGGGCCUAAUUCUAGGAAAUAAAACUGUUUGUCUGUCCCACAUAAGUUACAAAUGUCUCCAGUGUUGUGGUGUUGUCCUUUGGUUUGUAUGAGUGAGUUUUCUUGUGCUACUGACUUAAAUAAAACAACUGCAAAAUACUGGCAUAAUUUAGCUCCACUUUACAGUGUUUUAGAAUUGUCAUUUUUUCAUAUGGUCUCAUUCUCUCAGAGCAAAGUUGAUAACAAUUACAGUAGAUGUUUUACAGUGUUGAAUGCUUUUUUCUUCAUUCCUGUCAACAGUUACUUCUCCUGUACCAUCCCUUGUGAUGGUUUAUGUGGGCUGGUUUGGCUUUUUUAAAGAAAAUAUUUAUGGCCAUUUUUGUCCACAGUGUUUCUGCCUUUUACUAACAUUUUCCAAUUAAUUAAACCUUAAGUUUAUUCCUUUAUAUUAUACAUAUGUAUUUUUUUCUAUGUAUAAUAAUCUUUGUUAUCUGAUAAUUGUAUUUCAUGUUAAAUCCCUCCUCAUAAUUUUCAUAUGUUUUUCACCUUCAGUCCAUGACCUUUCGGUGCCUUAUUUUUAUUUAUUUUGAUAAGUUAUUUGCCUCAUUUCUUUUCAUAUCAAUACAACCUUACUAAACCUGUCCAGAACUUACCGUAUUGCUUGUGAAAUUCUUCUGUGGGUAAUAAUGGACUCAUUUUGUCAGUGAAACCUUGUUCCCAUAGGAAGCAUUACAAAGGCAGAAGCUCAGCCCCAAAGGCAGAGGAGCUUCUUCCCAUGGCCCAGCUCCUGCUGCCCGCACCUUUGGGUGCUGCUGAGGAGCACCAGCAGAUGGGGCCGGAACGCUGCGAGCGAGACUUGGGAGCGGGAAUGUAAUUUUUCAUUUGUGAAGGGUAAAAGCACAGUGGUGCCAAAAAUCCCUGCUAGUUCACUCCAGGCUCUGCAGGCUGGUUGAGGACUCUGGGCACUGGGUUCUGGUUUCCCCUAGCACUGACCUACCCCACAGAUGCACUCUGAAGCUGGAAACCAUCAAUAAGCAAAGUUUGCAAAAAGCCAGACUCAGGGGGCAGGACU